GGGGAAUCUUGCGCAAUGGGCGAAAGCCUGACGCAGCGACGCCGCGUGAGGGAAGAAGGCCUUCGGGUUGUAAACCUCUUUCAGGAGGGACGAAGCCACUCGGGUUAAUAGCCCAGAGGGUGACGGUACCUCCAGAAGAAGCCCCGGCUAACUUCGUGCCAGCAGCCGCGGUAAUACGAAGGGUGCAAACGUUGCUCGGAAUUAUUGGGCGUAAAGCGCACGUAGGCGGCUUUUCAAGUCCCAUGUGAAAGCCCACGGCUUAACCGUGGAAGUGCAUGGGAAACUGGAGAGCUUGAGUACUUAAGAGGAUCGCGGAAUUCCCGGUGUAGAGGUGAAAUUCGUAGAUAUCGGGAGGAACACCAGUGGCGAAGGCGGCGAUCUGGGAAGAUACUGACGCUGAGGUGCGAAAGCGUGGGGAGCAAAC
rnacentral:rRNA from 1 species